AGAGUUUGAUCAUGGCUCAGAACGAACGUGGCGGCGUGCCUAAUGCAUGCAAGUCGAACGAGAAAGCAUCUUCGGAUGUUAGUAAAGUGGCAAACGGGUGAGUAACACAUAGGUAAUCUUCCUUUAGGUGGGGGAUAACCCGUCGAAAGAUGGGCUAAUACCGCAUAAGACCACAGUAACUACGGUUACAGGGGUUAAAGAUGGCCUCUAUUUAUAAGCUAUCACCAAAAGAUGAGCCUAUGCACCAUUAGCCUGUUGGUAGGGUAAUGGCCUACCAAAGCUACGAUGGUUAGCUGAUCUGAGAGGUUGAUCAGCCACACUGGAACUGAGACACGGUCCAGACUCCUACGGGAGGCAGCAGUAGGGAAUAUUGCGCAAUGGAGGAAACUCUGACGCAGCGACGCCGCGUGGGCGAUGAAGGCUUUCGGGUCGUAAAGCCCUGUCGGAAGGGAAGAAAAACGAGAUGGCUAAUAUCCAUUUCGAUUGACGGUACCUUAGAAGGAAGCACCGGCUAACUACGUGCCAGCAGCCGCGGUAAUACGUAGGGUGCUAACGUUGUUCGGAAUCAUUGGGCGUAAAGCGCGUGUAGGUGGUUACACAAGUUGGAUGUGAAAUCCCUGGGCUUAACCGAGGAAGUGCAUCCAAAACUAGGUAGCUAGAGGACGGUAGAGGAAGGUGGAAUUCCAAGUGUAGAGGUGAAAUUCGUAGAUAUUUGGAGGAAUACCUGUGGCGAAGGCGGCCUUCUGGGCCGUUCCUGACACUGAGACGCGAAAGCGUGGGGAGCAAACAGGAUUAGAUACCCUGGUAGUCCACGCCGUAAACGAUGAACACUAGGUGUUGUGGGUAUUGACCCCUACAGUGCCGCCGCUAACGCAUUAAGUGUUCCGCCUGGGAAGUACGGCCGCAAGGUUAAAACUCAAAUGAAUUGACGG
rnacentral:rRNA from 1 species